rnacentral:rRNA from 1 species
GCUUGUCUCAAAGAUUAAGCCAUGCAUGUCUAAGUGUAAAUAAGUCUAUACUGUGAAACUGCGAAUGGCUCAUUAAAUCAGUUAUCGUUUAUUUGAUGGUUCUUGCUACUUGGAUAACCGUAGUAAUUCUAGAGCUAAUACAUGCGUCAAACCUCGACUUCUGGGAGAGGUGUAUUUAUUAGAUGGAAACCAAUGCGGGGCAACCCGGUAUAUGGUGAUUCAUAAUAACUUUCGGAUCGAUCUUCGGAUCGAUGCAUCAUUCAAGUUUCUGCCCUAUCAGCUUUGGAUGGUAGGAUAUGGGCCUACCAUGGCAUUAACGGGUAACGGGGAAUUAGGGUUUGAUUCCGGAGAGGGAGCCUUAGAAACGGCUACCACAUCCAAGGAAGGCAGCAGG